GAUGAACGCUGGCGGCGUGCCUAAUACAUGCAAGUCGAGCGAGCAGACGAGGAGCUUGCUCCUUUGACGUUAGCGGCGGACGGGUGAGUAACACGUAGGUAACCUACCUAUAAGACUGGGAUAACUUCGGGAAACCGGAGCUAAUACCGGAUAAUAUUUCGAACCGCAUGGUUCGAUAGUGAAAGAUGGCUUUGCUAUCACUUAUAGAUGGACCUGCGCCGUAUUAGCUAGUUGGUAAGGUAACGGCUUACCAAGGCAACGAUACGUAGCCGACCUGAGAGGGUGAUCGGCCACACUGGAACUGAGACACGGUCCAGACUCCUACGGGAGGCAGCAGUAGGGAAUCUUCCGCAAUGGGCGAAAGCCUGACGGAGCAACGCCGCGUGAGUGAUGAAGGUCUUCGGAUCGUAAAACUCUGUUAUUAGGGAAGAACAAACGUGUAAGUAACUGUGCACGUCUUGACGGUACCUAAUCAGAAAGCCACGGCUAACUACGUG
rnacentral:rRNA from 1 species